AUGGCAAAGUGAUUUCAGUAAAAAACAUAAUUGCUUAUGGGGGUAAAGAGUAUGUUAUGUUUCAAGAAUAUAGAGAGAAAGAGGCCUUAUACACCUACCCUCUUGACUCCAGAAACAUGGGCGUAUUCAUUGUGUCCAAUUUGUCAACAGUGAUGCACUUUACUGAGCUCACAAAGCCCUGGCAGAAGUGUGUGAGGUUGCCUCUGGGAGACAAAUUUGCAGUCUUCCCUCUGACUCACACAUCUUAAUAUCACCAAUUAAUGUACAUAGUUCUUGAGAAGCAGUAACACCAUUUCUGGAUUAAAUUGUGGGACAUGCUUUACAAUGUAUCAUAUCGUAAUCUUUGAAACAACAAAUGAAGUCGAGGUUGUCCCCCAAAAUUGGGUAAGGGACAAUAUUUGUAUGUGGCCUCCAUACAAAUAUGAAGAUAGAGUUAAAGCCAUAAAAUCAAUGGUAAAGCCAGGACCAUCUUGGACUCCCUUCAAAAUCCGGAUUAUUUUUACUAGAGAAACAUAUGAAGAAGCUCGCCAAAAACUACCAGAGGCAGAAAUAAACACAGACCUUACAGAUGUGGACUCGCCCCCCGUGAGAAGAAAAAGACACAUUAAAAGGGCACGUUUUUUCGAUGAUAGUGAAACUGAGGAUGAGGCAAACUUUCCACUUCCAGCAGCGCCAGAAGUGCAAAUCAACCCCAUCAGGAAAUGUACCAGCAGAGCAGGGAAUUACUCCCAACCACUAGCCAGAGAGGAGGCAGACACUAUGAAUUGU